rnacentral:rRNA from 1 species
GGGUUGUGAGGUUAAGCGACUAAGCGUACACGGUGGAUGCCCUGGCAGUCAGAGGCGAUGAAGGACGUGCUAAUCUGCGAAAAGCGUCGGUAAGGUGAUAUGAACCGUUAUAGCCGGCGAUGUCCGAAUGGGGAAACCCAGUGCAAUUCGUUGCACUAUCGUUUGAUGAAUACAUAGUCAAACGAGGCGAACCGGGGGAACUGAAACAUCUAAGUACCCCGAGGAAAAGAAAUCAACCGAGAUUCCCCCAGUAGCGGCGAGCGAACGGGGAGCAGCCCGGAGUCUGAAUCAGCUUGUGUGUUAGUGGAAGCGUCUGGAAAGUCGCAGGGUACAGGGUGAUACUCCCGUACACUAAAGCACACAGGUUGUGAACUCGAAGAGUAGGGCGGGACACGUGGUAUCCUGUCUGAAUAUGGGGGGACCAUCCUCCAAGGCUAAAUACUCCUGACUGACCGAUAGUGAACCAGUACCGUGAGGGAAAGGCGAAAAGAACCCCGGCGAGGGGAGUGAAAAAGAACCUGAAACCGUGUACGUACAAGCAGUAGGAGCCUCUUUAUGGGGUGACUGCGUACCUUUUUGUAUAAUGGGUCAGCGACUUAUAUUCUGUAGCAAGGUUAACCGUAUAGGGGGAGCCGCAGGGAAACCGAGUCUUAACUGGGCGUUAAGUUGCAGGGUAUAGACCCGAAACCCGGUGAUUCAGCCAUGGGCAGGUUGAAGGUUGGGUAACACUAACUGGAGGACCGAACCGACUAAUGUUGAAAAAUUAGCGGAUGACUUGUGGCUGGGGGUGAAAGGCCAAUCAAACCGGGAGAUAGCUGGUUCUCCCCGAAAGCUAUUUAGGUAGCGCCUCGUGAACUCAUCUUCGGGGGUAGAGCACUGUUUCGGCUAGGGGUCAUCCCGACUUACCAACCCGAUGCAAACUACGAAUACCGAAGAAUGUUAUCACGGGAGACACACGGCGGGUGCUAACGUCCGUCGUGAAGAGGGAAACAACCCAGACCGCCAGCUAAGGUCCCAAAGUCAUGGUUAAGUGGGAAACGAUGUGGGAAGGCCCAGACAGCCAGGAUGUUGGCUUAGAAGCAGCCAUCAUUUAAAGAAAGCGUAAUAGCUCACUGGUCGAGUCGGCCUGCGCGGAAGAUGUAACGGGGCUAAACCAUGCACCGAAGCUGCGGCAGCGACACUAUGUGUUGUUGGGUAGGGGAGCGUUCUGUAAGCCGUUGAAGGUGGCCUGUGAGGGUUGCUGGAGGUAUCAGAAGUGCGAAUGCUGACAUAAGUAACGAUAAUGCGGGUGAAAAACCCGCACGCCGGAAGACCAAGGGUUCCUGUCCAACGUUAAUCGGGGCAGGGUGAGUCGACCCCUAAGGCGAGGCCGAAAGGCGUAGUCGAUGGGAAACAGGUUAAUAUUCCUGUACUCGGUGUUACUGCGAAGGGGGGACGGAGAAGGCUAUGUUGGCCGGGCGACGGUUGUCCCGGUUUAAGCAUGUAGGCGGAUGUUCGGGUAAAUCCGGAACGUUACUAACGCUGAGGUGUGAUGACGAGGCACUACGGUGCUGAAGUGACAAAUGCCCUGCUUCGGGAAAAGCCUCUAAGCAUCAGGUAACAUCAAAUCGUACCCCAAACCGACACAGGUGGUCAGGUAGAGAAUACCAAGGCGCUUGAGAGAACUCGGGUGAAGGAACUAGGCAAAAUGGUGCCGUAACUUCGGGAGAAGGCACGCUGAUAUGUAGGUGAAGUGGUUUACCCAUGGAGCUGAAAUCAGUCGAAGAUACCAGCUGGCUGCAACUGUUUAUUAAAAACACAGCACUGUGCAAACACGAAAGUGGACGUAUACGGUGUGACGCCUGCCCGGUGCCGGAAGGUUAAUUGAUGGGGUUAUCCGUAAGGAGAAGCUCUUGAUCGAAGCCCCGGUAAACGGCGGCCGUAACUAUAACGGUCCUAAGGUAGCGAAAUUCCUUGUCGGGUAAGUUCCGACCUGCACGAAUGGCGUAAUGAUGGCCAGGCUGUCUCCACCCGAGACUCAGUGAAAUUGAACUCGCUGUGAAGAUGCAGUGUACCCGCGGCAAGACGGAAAGACCCCGUGAACCUUUACUAUAGCUUGACACUGAACACUGGUCCUUGAUGUGUAGGAUAGGUGGGAGGCUUUGAAGUGUGGACGCCAGUCUGCAUGGAGCCAUCCUUGAAAUACCACCCUUUAAUGGCUGGUGUUCUAACGUGGGCCCCUAAUCGGGGUUGCGGACAGUGUCUGGUGGGUAGUUUGACUGGGGCGGUCUCCUCCUAAAGAGUAACGGAGGAGCACGAAGGUCAGCUAAUCCUGGUCGGACAUCAGGAGGUUAGUGCAAUGGCAUAAGCUGGCUUGACUGCGAGCGUGACGGCGCGAGCAGGUGCGAAAGCAGGUCAUAGUGAUCCGGUGGUUCUGAAUGGAAGGGCCAUCGCUCAACGGAUAAAAGGUACUCCGGGGAUAACAGGCUGAUACCGCCCAAGAGUUCAUAUCGACGGCGGUGUUUGGCACCUCGAUGUCGGCUCAUCACAUCCUGGGGCUGAAGUAGGUCCCAAGGGUAUGGCUGUUCGCCAUUUAAAGUGGUACGCGAGCUGGGUUUAGAACGUCGUGAGACAGUUCGGUCCCUAUCUGCCGUGGGCGCUGGAGAAUUGAGGGGGCUGCUCCUAGUACGAGAGGACCGGAGUGGACGCAUCACUGGUGUUCGGGUUGUCAUGCCAAUGGCAUUGCCCGGUAGCUAAAUGCGGAAGAGAUAAGUGCUGAAAGCAUCUAAGCACGAAACUUGCCCCGAGAUGAGUUCUCCCUGACUCCUUGAGAGUCCUGAAGGAACGUUGAAGACGACGACGUUGAUAGGCCGGGUGUGUAAGCGCAGCGAUGCGUUGAGCUAACCGGUACUAAUGAACCGUGAGGCUUAACCUUACAACGCCGAAG